rnacentral:lncRNA from 1 species
AUGAGUAUGGAUGAAGUGGAACAGUAUGCUGGCUUGACCAGUGCUUCUCAAUCAGGACCGAGAACGGACAGUGCCUUCAUCCUAUCGAGCAAGUCGGAGCUCCCCAGAGCUGCUCGGGCAGCUGGGCUCACACGCUUCCAAACAGUUCAGACAGUUACUAGAGCAGUGGGAGGAGAUUCUGCCAGCUGCUCCCACGUGCCUGCGCCUUCUGCCGUGCUAGAGAAAAAGCCAGAUGAACCCAGAGUUUACAAGCCCUGGAUCAACAUAGACUAUUCAGAAUGAAGCGCCAUAGUCCUGGGUUCUGACGCCCCCUGGUGGACACUUUGAGUUGAAGUUGGUAACCGACAAACGGACUAAGGUACUCUUUUACUUAUAAUUUAACUUUUAAUAUAAUUUUUAAAGGUUACUUUUCACUUAAAAUUAAAUUACAAAAUAUUGGCUGUAUUCCCCAUGUUGUACAAUACAUCCUUGAGCCUGUCUUUACACCCAAUACUUGCUACCUCCCACUCCACCACCCCUAUAUUGCCCCCCCAUAACAACUACUUUGUUCUUUGUAUCUGAGUCUGCUUUUUUGUUUUAUUCACGUUUGUUGUUUUUAUUUUAGAUUCCACAUAUAAACAAUAUCAUACAGUAUUUCUCUUUUAAUUAAUUUAUUUUAAUUGAAGGAUAAUUACAAUAUUGUGAUGGCU